rnacentral:rRNA from 1 species
AUUGAACGCUGGCGGCAGGCCUAACACAUGCAAGUCGAACGAGUGGCGGACGGGUGAGUAAUGUCUGGGAAACUGCCUGAUGGAGGGGGAUAACUACUGGAAACGGUAGCUAUUACCGCAUACCAUCGGAUGUGCCCAGAUGGGAUUAGCUAGUAGGGGGGGUAAAGGCUCACAUAGGCGACGAUCCCUCGCUGGUCUGAGAGGAUGACGAGCCACACUGGAACUGAGACACGGUCCAGACUGCUACGGGAGGCAGCAGUGGGGAAUAUGGGACAAUGGGCGCAAGCCUGAUGCAGCCAUGGCGCGUGUAUGAAGAAGGCCUUCGGGUUGUAAAGUACUUUCAGCGGGGAGGCGUUACCCGCAGAAGAAGCACCGGCUAACUACGUGCCAGCAGCCGCGGUAAUAC